rnacentral:piRNA from 1 species
CCACAAUUUAUCAUUGUCCCAA